UACGGGGGGGGUAAGCGUUGUUCGGAAUUACUGGGCGUAAAGGGCCCGUAGGCGGCCAACUAAGUCAUACGUGAAAUCCCUCAGCUUAACUGGGGAACUGCGUGUGAUACUGGAUGGCUUGGAUUUGGGAGAGGGAUGCGGAAUUCCAGGUGUAGCGGUGAAAUGCGUAGAUAUCUGGAGGAACACCGGUGGCGAAGGCGGCAUCCUGGACCAAUAUUGACGCUGAGGAGCGAAAGCCAGGGGAGCAAACGGG
rnacentral:rRNA from 1 species